AGAGUACGUGAAACCGAUCAGGGGUAAACGGAAAAGACUUUAAACAUCGAAAGGGGAGAUUCACGCUUUCUCGCAUGAGUCGGCUCCCGCGGGGUCAGAUGGCGCCGUUCGCCCGCUCGGCGCAAGCCGUUGCGGGGUCGUCUCGGUGAUCACUCGACGCCCGUGGGGGUUAUGCCGGCCGCGGUGAGCCGCACUUUUCCCUCAGUAGAACAUCGCGACCCGUUGGUCGACGGUCGACGGCCACGGAUGGAGCCCGGGGGCGGUUAGGUUCGCCGACCCGCUCUCGGACGCUGUGAGUCCUGACCGAUCGGCAGACGGUAUGAAACGCAGGUGUCGGACCGCCACUCAGUUUUGGGCGUCCGGGCCGGUCGCAAGUUGGUGCGUGCGUCGGGAUGACGGGCCUCGGUCCGGCUCUCGCGCCGUCCAGCUGUUGGCGGCCGCGUCCUCGGACGGGUCUUGUAACACCGGUCGGCGAUGUCAGUUUAAGGUACUUAUCCGACCCGUCUUGAAACACGGACCAAGGAGUCUAACAUGUGCGCGAGUCAUUUGGGUGUAAACCUAAAGGCGCAAUGAAAUUGAAGGUCUGACUUGUCAGGCCGAGGGAAGAUGGACGUGCAGCCCAAG
rnacentral:rRNA from 1 species